rnacentral:rRNA from 1 species
AUUGAACGCUGGCGGCAUGCCUUACACAUGCAAGUCGAACGGCAGCAUAGAGAGCUUGCUCUCUGAUGGCGAGUGGCGAACGGGUGAGUAAAGCAUCGGAACGUACCGUGUAGUGGGGGAUAACGUAGCGAAAGUUACGCUAAUACCGCAUACGUACUGAGGUAGAAAGCAGGGGAUCGUAAGACCUUGCGCUAUACGAGCGGCGGAUGUCAGAUUAGCUAGUUGGUAGGGUAAAGGCCUACCAAGGCGACGAUCUGUAGCGGGUCUGAGAGGAUGAUCCGCCACACUGGGACUGAGACACGGCCCAGACUCCUACGGGAGGCAGCAGUGGGGAAUUUUGGACAAUGGGGGCAACCCUGAUCCAGCCAUGCCGCGUGAGUGAAGAAGGCCUCCGGGUUGUAAAGCUCUUUCGGCCGGGAAGAAAUCGCACAGGCUAAUACCCUGUGUGGAUGACGGUACCGGCAUAAGAAGCACCGGCUAACUACGUGCCAGCAGCCGCCGUAA